CUACUACAGUUGCAUUGUCUGGCACUGCUGCAACCGAUCUAAAUUGGAGCAGCUACAGGCUUUAUCGCUCCCAGCACCCAGGACCUCUUUCUGAGAGGUCCCUUAACAAAUGGUUCCUUAAUAAUGGUAUGGAUGAGCCCU
rnacentral:lncRNA from 1 species